rnacentral:lncRNA from 13 species
CUAGGGCAGAAAGGUUUCUCUGAGAGACAUAUGCUGGUGCCCUGCAGCCAGCAUGAUGGAUGAGGAGGCCCAGAGCUGCUCAGGUAAGAAACAACCGAAGUCUGGAGUAGGCGUGGCUUGUCCAACUAAGGUCAUGGCCAGUCAGAGACCGGCACGGGCAUAGAGCUCAAGUCUGCUGACCAAGUCCAGUGCAUCUCUGCGAUUUCCUAGGGAAAAAAGAGCCAGUCAGCCUUCAGUCCAGCCUUGGAGCACACGGCUGAAUCUCCAAAGUCCUGCCUCUUACAACUCUGCUGGUACAGUCUGUUGGAUGGAGGUCUGCCUCUCCCAGGCGCCAAUCACCAGAGCAACCAAGGCUGAAAAUAAUGCUCAACCUUCAACUCAUUUUUGCUGCCGUGGUUUGGGGGCCAUUUUCCAUUUCCUAGGCUGACACAGCCUUGCUGAGGACCAUGGGAUCGGGUAGGAUUGCACUCAG